rnacentral:lncRNA from 1 species
UCUCAACAUCAGUCAUAUGAUAGAUUCGAUUAGCUCAAAUUCAGUUGUGACUUCUAUGAAAACUCUUUUCCAUCAAUCACACUAUUGUGGCUAUAGAUUCUCAGACUUAGCCUCUCAAAUCUCAUAGGACUACUCCUUUCUACCAAGGUUGAUAGAUUCCAUCUUGAUGCACACUCUACUCCUACAGUGGACCAACUAUCGCCAAUAUCCAUUACAAGAGCUCAUUGAGAUACAUAUUUAUGUGUCAAUCAAACUUCAGCAGCC